CUUCUAAAUUGUAACCCUGAUUCUCAUUUAUAUAUCGAACUGAAAUAGCACACAGAAACCAAUUAAUUAUCUUGAAAAAGCUAAAAGAUACAGAUAUACAUAUAAAAAUUUACCUUGAACAAGACAGAAGAUUCGUUGGAAGAUCAAAUUUGAUAGCUUUUGAUUUGAAUUCUAGAUAGUCAUAUAUUACCUGUCAAAAGAAAUUUUCAAAGUAGACGCGGUUAAGAAAGCCCUGGACAGAGAAAACAAAAAAGAUAUACAGUGUGUAUAUGUUAUAGAGAGAGAGAGGAGAGAGAGAGAGAGAGAUUUUGCUGGCAGAAGCUGCAAUGGAGACAGGAAUAGCCUGCUAAUCGACUAGACUGAAAUAACGGAGAAGUUCGUCGACAAUACAACAAAAUGUAGGAAUCGGGGAGAAGAAGCCAGAUAGGGACGACGUCGUAUAUGUUUUGGGGUUAGGAAAGAUCCUAGUCCUAUAAAGGGAAUUGCGGAUCUUAAUCAAUGGGUGGAUUUGGAAUCACUUUCACUUGUAGGAUGUUUAAUGGCAAGCAUGAAACUUAC
rnacentral:lncRNA from 1 species